rnacentral:lncRNA from 1 species
AUGCGUUUGGAUCUUGCUGCCUUGCGCGCAUUCUGCAGCAUUAUACAGAUGAUCUCCCUGACGACGUCUUUUCUCAUUUCAGUCACCUGCUUUUUACCAAGAAAACACAGAGGAAAGACAGGCUUGAGCUACUUGUGCCUCAGGAGUGCUGUGUGUCCGGCCCAGCUUUUGAGCAGCGAGGUUUGGAAUUCUUUCUUAAUUUUGAGCUAUCUGAGUGCCUUGCUGACAAGCGUUGAUGCUCAUAUCGAGGAAAUUCGUUCAAUGGUCCCUAAGAAGAAUGCCAUUGGCGUAAGCCAUCCCUUUCAUCUCUUACUGUGAUUAUUCUAUCUAGGGGUCGACCAAUACAGUGAUUUGCUGGGCUGAUACCAUAAUGAUUAUUUGUGGCAGAUAACCUAUAUUUCAGGCUAAUAUUUGUAUGAUUUUACCAUGCUUUUGGUGUGAAAAUAAAGAGAAAAAAUUAGCUAAAAAUUGCUAUAAC